rnacentral:rRNA from 1 species
GACGAACGCUGGCGGCGUGCUUAACACAUGCAGGUCGAACGGUAAGGCCCUUCGGGGUACACGAGUGGCGAACGGGUGAGUAACACGUGGGUGAUCUGCCCUGCACUUCGGGAUAAGCCUGGGAAACUGGGUCUAAUACCGGAUAGGACCCUGGGAUGCAUGUCCUGGGGUGGAAAGCUGUUGCGGUGUGGGAUGGGCCCGCGGCCUAUCAGCUUGUUGGUGGGGUGAUGGCCUACCAAGGCGACGACGGGUAGCCGGCCUGAGAGGGUGACCGGCCAAACUGGGACUGAGAUACGGCCCAGACUCCUACGGGAGGCAGCAGUGGGGAAUAUUGCACAAUGGGCGCAAGCCUGAUGCAGCGACGCCGCGUGAGGGAUGACGGCCUUCGGGUUGUAAACCUCUUUCAGCACCGACGAAGCGCAAGUGACGGUAGGUGCAGAAGAAGGACCGGCCAACUACGUGCCAGCAGCCGCGGUAA